AGUGAACGCUGGCGGUAGGCCUAACACAUGCAAGUCGAACGGCAGCACAGUAAGAGCUUGCUCUGACGGGUGGCGAGUGGCGGACGGGGGAGGAAUACAUCGGAAUCUACUUUUUCGAGGGGGAUAACGGAGGGAAACUUACGCUAAUACCGCAUACGACCUACGGGGGAAAGCAGGGGAUCUUCGGACCUUGCGCGAUUGAAUGAGCCGAUGUCGGAUUAGCUAGUUGGCGGGGUAAAGGCCCACCAAGGCGACGAUCCGUAGCUGGUCUGAGAGGAUGAUCAGCCACACUGGAACUGAGACACGGUCCAGACUCCUACGGGAGGCAGCAGUGGGGAAUAUUGGACAAUGGGCGCAAGCCUGAUCCAGCCAUACCGCGUGGGUGAAGAAGGCCUUCGGGUUGUAAAGCCCUUUUGUUGGGAAAGAAAAGCAGCAGGUUAAUACCCCGCUGUUCUGACGGUACCCAAAGAAUAAGCACCGGCUAACUUCGUG
rnacentral:rRNA from 1 species